AAAACAAUUUUGUUAGCAACUUUCCUUUGAUUGUGUGGAUAAGGUUAACACUGAGCUGAACACCAGCUCCACAUUGAAUUUUACCAGUUGGCUGAAAUGCAUGGUAAAACAUUUUUUUUUUUUUUUUUUGGAUUUCAGAGAAAAUAGCAGCCACCCAUUUCUGCAUCCGGGCUGUAUCCACACACCUGGUUCUCUGAAGUUAAAGUUUGUCUGUCACCGGGACUUUGCUCCCAGCUCUCUGUUACCCAGGGAAAGCAUGGAAAUGGUGUCACCACAGAUGUUUCCUGGGAAGAGCAAGAGAACCACAGGAAAUCUCAUAGGGACACAGGCAAGACUGGGAUGCUCCUGGAUUCUGAACUUAAGAAGAUAGGACAUAAACAAAAACAUUGCAAAGAUGGAAAAUUAAGAGCUGUUGUAAUGGUGUGCUAGAUCUGGCUCUUAGAGUAGAUUAAAUUUUAGAGAGUAGAUUUUGUGCUAUUAAUGCGUAUGUGGUCUAGGUGCUUAGUUGGUAAGUUGUUUCUGACUCCUUGCAACCCCAGGGACUAUAGCUCACCAGGGUCCGUUGUCCAUGGGAAUUUCCAGGAAAAAGCACCAGAGUGAUUUGCCAUUUCCUCCUCCAGGGGAUCUUCCUGACCCAUGGAUCAAACCCACAUCCAUAUCUCCUGCAGGAGGAUUCUUUACCACUGUGACCCUGGGGACGCCUAGAAAGGAGAGUUGAAACGAGAUUUUGGGCAUCUCUUUUCAACUCUCCUUUCAGUGACUUUCCAUUUGGAAGAUUGAAAUCAGCCUUGGUAAAGGUUAUUUACACAAUGGAAAUUGGCAAAUGCUACCAAUCAGAGCAUUUUCUUUUUUUCAGAAAGCUGAUUUUUUAGCAAACUAGAAAUGAUGGGAAGAGAAAUGGGCUGUGGAUUUGAAAGUCACAUUGAUCAAAAUAGUGACCACUAUAGAGCUCAAUUAGAUCCUCUUUACAUUUAUUCACCUUAUUAAAAAUGACCCCUUGUCUGAUCUAUAAACCUGAAUAAAUUUG
ensembl:lncRNA